rnacentral:rRNA from 1 species
CAACCUGCCGCUUACUCGGGGAUAGCCUUUCGAAAGAAAGAUUAAUACCCGAUGGUAUAAAGAGUUCGCAUGUUCUCUUUAUUAAAGAAUUUCGGUAAGCGAUGGGGAUGCGUUCCAUUAGAUAGUUGGCGGGGUAACGGCCCACCAAGUCUACGAUGGAUAGGGGUUCUGAGAGGAAGGUCCCCCACAUUGGAACUGAGACACGGUCCAAACUCCUACGGGGGGCAGCAGUGAGGAAUAUUGGUCAAUGGACGAGAGUCUGAACCAGCCAAGUAGCGUGAAGGAUGACUGCCCUAUGGGUUGUAAACUUCUUUUAUAAGGGAAUAAAGUGAGGGACGUGUCCCUUUUUGUAUGUACCUUAUGAAUAAGGAUCGGCUAACUCCGUGCCAGCAGCCGCGGUAAUACGGAGGAUCCAAGCGUUAUCCGGAUUUAUUGGGUUUAAAGGGAGCGUAGGUUGACAUAUAAGUCAGCUGUGAAAGUUUACGGCUCAACCGUGAAAUUGCAGUUGAUACUGUAUGUCUUGAGUGUACAAGAGGUGGGCGGAAUUCGUGGUGUAGCGGUGAAAUGCUUAGAUAUCACGAAGAACUCCGAUUG